UACGUAGGGGGCAAGCGUUGUCCGGAAUCAUUGGGCGUAAAGAGCGUGUAGGCGGUUCGGUAAGUCGGCUGUGAAAGUCCAGGGCUCAACCCUGGGAUGCCGGUCGAUACUGCCGGACUAGAGUUCGGAAGAGGCGAGUGGAAUUCCCCGGUGUAGCGGUGAAAUGCGCAGAUAUCGGGAGGAACACCUAUGGCGAAGGCAGCUCGCUGGGACGUUACUGACGCUGAGACGCGAAAGCGUGGGGAGCGAACAGG
rnacentral:rRNA from 1 species